GACGAACGCUGGCGGCGUGCUUAACACAUGCAAGUCGAACGGAAAGGCCCUGCUUUUGUGGGGUGCUCGAGUGGCGAACGGGUGAGUAACACGUGAGUAACCUGCCCUUGACUUUGGGAUAACUUCAGGAAACUGGGGCUAAUACCGGAUAGGAGCUCCUGCUGCAUGGUGGGGGUUGGAAAGUUUCGGCGGUUGGGGAUGGACUCGCGGCUUAUCAGCUUGUUGGUGGGGUAGUGGCUUACCAAGGCUUUGACGGGUAGCCGGCCUGAGAGGGUGACCGGGCACAUUGGGACUGAGAUACGGCCCAGACUCCUGCGGGAGGCAGCAGUGGGGAAUAUUGCACAAUGGGCGGAAGCCUGAUGCAGCAACGCCGCGUGCGGGAUGACGGCCUUCGGGUUGUAGACCGCUUUCGCCUGUGACGAAGCGUGAGUGACGGUAAUGGGUAAAGAAGCACCGGCUAACUACGUG
rnacentral:rRNA from 1 species